UACGUAGGGUGCAAGCGUUAAUCGGAAUUACUGGGCGUAAAGCGUGCGCAGGCGGUGAUGUAAGACAGGUGUGAAAUCCCCGGGCUUAACCUGGGAACUGCGUUUCUAACUGGCAGGCUUGAGUGUGGCAGAGGGGGGUGGAAUUCCACGUGUAGUAGUGAAAUGCGUAGAGAUGUGGAGGAACACCGAUGGCGAAGGCAGCCCCCUGGGCUAACACUGACGCUCAUGCACGAAAGCGUGGGGAGCAAACAGG
rnacentral:rRNA from 1 species